AACGAACGCUGGUGGCAUGCCUAACACAUGCAAGUCGAACGAGACCUUCGGGUCUAGUGGCGCACGGGUGCGUAACGCGUGGGAACCUGCCCUUAGGUUCGGAAUAACUCCCCGAAAGGGGUGCUAAUACCGGAUAAUGUCUUCGGACCAAAGAUUUAUCGCCUUUGGAUGGGCCCGCGUUGGAUUAGCUAGUUGGUAGGGUAAAAGCCUACCAAGGCGACGAUCCAUAGCUGGUCGGAGAGGAUGAUCAGCCACACUGGGACUGAGACACGGCCCAGACUCCUACGGGAGGCAGCAGUGGGGAAUAUUGGACAACGGGCGAAAGCCUGAACCAGCAAUGCCGCGUGAGUGAUGAAGGCCUUAGGGAUGUAAAGCUCUUUUACCCGGGAUGAUAAUGACAGUACCGGGAGAAUAAGCUCCGGCUAACUCCGUG
rnacentral:rRNA from 1 species